GAGUUUGAUCCUGGCUCAGAACGUACGCUGGCGGCACGCCUUAUACAUGCAAGUCGAACGCAGUAGCAAUACUGAGUGGCAAACGGGUGAGUAUAAUGUGGGUAUCUGCCUUUUGGUUUGGAAUAACAUGAGGAAACUUAUGCUAAUACCGGAUAAGCCUUCACAGGGAAAGUUUUAUACGCCGAAAGAUGAGCCCGCACUUGAUUAGUUUGUUGGUGAGGUAAUGGCUCACCAAGACAAUUAUCAAUAGCUGGUCUGAGAGGACGAUCAGCCACAUUGGGACUGAGACACGGCCCAGACUCCUACGGGAGGCAGCAGUAAGGAAUCUUGCACAAUAGGGGAAACCCUGAUGCAGCGAUGCCGCGUGAGUGAAGAAGGCCCUUGGGUUGUAAAACUCUUUCGUCGGGGAAGAAAAUGACUGUACCCGAAUAAGAAGGUCCGGCUAACUUCGUGCCAGCAGCCGCGGUAAUACGAAGGGACCUAGCGUAGUUCGGAAUUACUGGGCUUAAAGAGCUCGUAGGUGGUUAAAAAAGUUGAUGGUGAAAUCCCAAGGCUCAACCUUGGAACUGCCAUCAAAACUUUUUAGCUAGAGUGUGAUAGAGGUAAGUGGAAUUUCUAGUGUAGAGGUGAAAUUCGUAGAUAUUAGAAAGAACACCAAAUGCGAAGGCAACUUACUGGGUCACUACUGACACUGAGGAGCGAAAGCAUGGGUAGCGAAGAGGAUUAGAUACCCUCGUAGUCCAUGCCGUAAACGAUGUGUGCUAGACGUUGGAAAUAUAUUUUUCAGUGUCGCAGCGAAAGCAUUAAGCACACCGCCUGGGGAGUACGACCGCAAGGUUAAAACUCAAAUGAAUUGACGGGGAC
rnacentral:rRNA from 1 species